CAGGACAGUUUGAGCAAACCUGUAAUUGCUACAACCUAUGUUGUUUCUACUGCUAUAAAAUCAAUAAGUGUAAAUUAGAGAGGCCAUCUCUUUGAAAUUGAUUAUGAUGACAAUGUACCAACUAUGAUUAUCCUCAUGCAAAUCCUGCCCAGACAGUGAGAUUCCUUUAUCUGUCCUUCUCGUGCAUGUAAUUUUUUGUUUACAUGCCUUUUCCUCAACAUCAGUAUAUACUAAUAUACUCAAUUGCUGGUCACUUCAUUUGGGAUUAAUUAUCAAAACAGAAAUGAGGCUGAGAAAAAACAGUGAAAUCAAAUUGAAUGGCAGAAUAGAAAUAGUUACUGCAGGAGCCUUUGAGGGAGAUGAAGAAGAUGAGCAAGGUGACUCUGCAUCCCUUAGAAGGAUGCUUCAGGAGCUGUUGUGAGGACAGAAGCUAAGGCAUGAAAUAGUUGCUUUGACCGUGACAUGAGGUUCCCAUGGGUGGAUAGAUGUUGAGGAAAAAAAAGUCAUCCUGUGGUUUUCCUUCUCAAGUAUGCAAGUUAUUAUGCAUCACAAGUACCUGAGACACAAGGUGAAUAAGAACCACUGAGACAUAAAUAGAAAGAUAUUUAUGUGGACUUAACCUCUUGGGAUGAGUAUUCAUAUACAAUAUGUAACAGAUUUUCAAGUAUUUUAUAUAUAAGGGAAGGGAUAUCGUGUAAGUUUCCUGAUGGAUAAAUCCUGGGAAAUGGAAACCAGAAAAGCUGGAGGUCAUUAUGGUGGCUGAGAACAUGGACUUUGGAAGAGAUGAAUUUCUUUGGUUUGAAUCCUGAUUGUGCCACCUUUUGGCCAUGACUCCUUUGGUCAUUGUGAAAUUAAGUGAGCCGAUUUAUACAUUAGCCCAUAAGAAGUGUUCAGAAAUGGGUGAUUCUGUUAACUGAUUUGUGUGAAUAUUUGUAAGGACUUGGAUAGUUUCACCAGUUUUUGAUCUUAAUAUCAUUUUCUCUCUGAAGACUUAAAUUUCUCAUCUGUAAACCCUUCUACUAUGUUGCCUUUUCUUUAUUCUCACAGAGUCAAGUCGAGAAGACAUUACUAUAUUUUCCAAAAGUAGACGGUUGACUUUCAAAUCUGGCAUGUAUUUUAGUUCUGAAGAUCUUUGGUAUUUAAAAUUUUAUGAUAUCAAAUCUGCCACUUUCUAGCAUCUUAUUAUAGGAUAACUUAUCUAAAGUUUCUAAAUAGUCUCAUCUUUGAAGUGGAAACAAUAGACUAUCUAUGAGAAUUUUUGUGCAAAAUAAAAAAGGAAAGCUACAGUACAUGGCACAUGUGGGCUACUAUGAAUAUUACUACCAUUAUUAUUGUAAUUCUUCUUAAAUAUAUUCUUAUUUACUUUAGAUGUGAUUGCUCAUAUUGCCAGUCUUUAAUUUGUGGAAAUUGAAGCAAGAUAGUCUACAAUUUUUCAUAAAACAAUGUAUGCAAAUUCAUAUGCCACUUUUUAAAUUUUUGAAACAUGAUUCACCAUCAUCAUUUUGUACCCUCAAAAUAUAAUAUAUUUCAUUUAAACACAAAUCUCAUUUUAUGAUGCUAAAUUAUCUCUAAGGACAUCUGCUUUUAAAACUCGCCAAACUUGUUUCUUUCUAGAAGAAAUUAUAUAAAUUUCAUUUUAAAUUGCUUCACAUUUUGAUGAUUCUUAAUAGCAGAGUUUGGCUGUUUGUCCUUUAAGUUUUUAUCCUUAACUUUAGACUGCUGACCCAGCCUACCUAGUCUACAAAAAUCAUACAGUAAAUAUUAGGAAAGCAGAGUACUCUUUUUGUUUUUUGGCUUUUUAGGACCACACCCAUGGCAUAUGGAGGUUCCCAGGCUAGGGGUCGAAUCAGAGCUGCAGCUGCUGGCCUACACCACAGCCACAGCAAUGCGGGAUCCGAGCCAUGUCUGUGACCUACACCACAGCUCAUGGCAACACCGGAUCUUUAACCCACUGAACGAGGCCAGGGAUCGAAACAGCAUCCUCAUGGUUCCUAGUCAGAUUCUUUUCCACUGAGCCACUACGGGAACUCCUUGUUUUGUUUUAUUUCUUUAUUUUUAUUAUUUAUUUAUCUUUAAAUAUUAUUAAAGUAUAGUUGAUUUACAAUGUCGUGUUGAUUUUAGGUGUACAACAAAGUGAUUCAGUUAUACAUGUACAUAUAUCCAUUCUUUUCCCAUAUAGGUUAUUAGAGAAUAUUGAGUAGAUUUCCCUGUGUUAUACAGUAGGUCCUCAUCAGUUAUCUGUUUUAUAUAUAGGACUGGGUCCAAAUUUAUGCCUACCUUCCAUGUUUCCCCUUUGGUAAUCAUAAGUUUAUUUUGGAAAUCUGCGAGUCUGUUUCUGUUUUGGAAAUGAGUUAUUUUGUAUCAUUUUUAUUAGAUUCCACAUAUAAGUGACAUCAUAUGUAUUUGUCUUUAUCUGACUGACUUCACUUAGUAUGAGAGUCUCUAGGAUGCUCUUUACUACUUACUUCAUGUAACCUUCUAACUUUGUACCAUCUUAGUCCCAUGGUUCUGAAUGCUUAGAGUUUGAUUGCAUAAUCCAGCCUUAAUGUCCAAGUCUGACUCAGAUUUUAUUUGCCAUAGUACAGUACUGGGUUUGAAAUAACUAGUCAAUUUUAGAAAACUGAAAAAUGGGGCUGCUUCUUUCAUAUUAAGGUCUGAUGUUGACUGUGCAAAGAUAUAUACCAAGGUUAAGGAUAAUAUGCUCUAUGAAGUGUUGCAAACAAUUAAAGUUUAUUUUAGAUUUCUUCUCCAUUUUAUUUUCUUUAUUUUUCUGCUUUAUUUCAAAAAUGUUUCUAAAUAACUUAAUUGUAUGAGCAAACAGGAAUAAGAAUAUAUCAAAUGUUUCAAAUGCAUCUAAGGGCUUAUGGCAUUUGUAGGAUUAACUAAUAAAUAAAUUUUCAACAGAGCUAAUUUGUAGGUAAUCUGGGCCCAAGCCAGAUUUUUAACAUGAACAAUGUAAUUAAAUUACUUCAUUUUUACAAGUAAAUAUACCAUAAGAUCUUUCAUAGUGGCCAAGAUUUAGACCGUUUGAAUACAUUUUCUAACAUUUUUUUGCCACUUAAAUGGCGUAAAAUAUUUCCUUUAUAAUUUUUAAAACAGAAGUUCCUGUUGUGGCUCAGUGGUUAACGAAUCCGACUAGGAACCAUGAGGUUGCAGGUUCGAUCCCUGACCUUGCUCAGUGGGUUAAGGAUCUGGCAUUUCCGUGAGCUGUGGCAAAGGUCGCAGAUGCAGCUCGGAUCCCGUGUUGCUGUGGCUGUGGUGUAGGCCGACGGCUACAGCUCCAAUUCAACCCCUAGCCUGGGAACCUCCAUAGGCCGCGGGUGUGGCCCAUUAAAUGGCAAAAAGACAAAACCAACAAGCAAACAAAAAAACAACCAUAAGAUCUUCAAGAGCAUUUAUCCAAAUAGCUGGUGUAUUUUUCUACUUUGAAUAUAAUUUUUUAUAAUUCAAAAAUAAGAAAUUUAAAAAUAUCUCAUUUCCUGCCAUUAUAAUCUAGACAUUAUCAAGGGCAGGGUAUUUGUUUUAGGUGAUCUCAGUGUUUCUAGAAAGACUCCCCUGCCAAAUGAGAUGAUCACAGAAGACUGUCACUUUUGGAGUAUUGUUCAUGACCAGGUGUUUAGUCUUGGUUUUCAUUGUAUCAUGUUUUCCAAAGACUUUGUGAGGGAAAAAAUGUCCUCCCAAGUAAAGUGUGCACAGAGUUCCUGUUAUUUUUGAUGUCUAGCAAAAACUAGCAAGGUCAAGUACAUCGAUGCCACUUUCUUAAAUUUCUGGACCAUGUGUCCUAUUUCCUGUAUGGUUGCUGAGGACUGUUUUGAUCAUUUCCUGGGAAAGGCAGGAAUGGAAGUUAGGACUUUUUUGUAGAUUAGGGAAGGUGUAAGGAGAAACUUGGGGUAUCCGCCUACAUACUUCUAGUGUAUGCCACGAUUAUUCCUGAGAAGGAAAAUCCUAUUACUUCUCUAAUAUUCUGAAGGAAACUAAACAUUGGGUAUUGCUAGCGGUGGCUAAUAGGAAGUGAAAGCCAAUUUUAUUUGCUAUGACCACUCAUGUUUAUAUUGUUUACUGCAGUGAUCGCUGGUAACCCACAUGUCUUAUUUCCAUAAGUUAAAUUGUGUUCAGGAAUCUGCAAAGACAAAAAAAGGACUUUAUACUGAAGAUUUUUUUUUAAAUUUUUCAAAGGUUCUUAUUUAUUCUUCUACUUCGUAAGAAAAUUGAUACCUUCCCCCUUACACACAUUUUCCUUAUAUAUUUUAAUUUUGUAUCCUCAUUCUGUAAAUAAAUGAAUAAUAGCAGUAACUCAUAAUUCUUGGUAUGAAUUGUCAGGAAAGAGCAUAGAAUAUCAUAUAGGUCUGGAAUUAAAUAGAUGAUAUUUAUGAAACAUUUAUAUUCACCUUAGUUCUUUAAUAGUAUCAAGACUCCAAUUGUUUUUGCAUUAUAGGGAUUUUUCUAAAAGAGUCAUUUCAUAUAUAAUCUCUUAUUCAGGUUUACUUUUAUAAUACAAUUUUAAGAAGAUUGUGGUCUAGUGCAUUUUCCUUUUAUAUUCUUUAUAAAAGUUAAAUUUUAUCUAGGACGAGCAAAAUGUUUAGUCUACUUGCUGGCAAAUUUACCAAAAGAAAUCUACUCAAGUGUAUUGAAAAUCUGAUCAUAUAAUUAAGUCAGGAUGGUUGUCAGGCAGAGAAUAAAGUGAGUCCUUGAUUAUCUUCCAGCUUUUUAUAUUUGCCCUGAACCCACGUCUGUGAGAAGGAAAGAGCACUGGGCUGAAGUUGGACCAGGUUGUUAACUGUGAUUUCAGGCCAUUCACUCUGUUGGCCUCUUGAGCUUUAGUUAUUUUUUCUUAACACACACACACACACACACACACACACACACACACACACACUCUUCACAGGGUUGUUGGGGGAAUUAAAUGAACUAAUAAUUGUGGAAGUAUUUUUGAACUUAAAGGCAGUAUGGAAAUAGUGCAGGUAACAUUUUGCAAUUCCUAGUGCUGUAACAAGGAAACUUUUUUUUUUUUUUCUUUUCUUCUUUUUAGGGCCGCGCCCCCUGCAUAUGGAAGUUCCCAGGCUAGGGGUGGAAUCAGAGCUGCAUCUGCUGGCCAAAGCCACAGCAAGGCCAGAUCUGAGCCUUGUCUGCGACCUACUCUGCAGCUCCCAGCAAUGCCGGAUCCUUAGCCCACUGAGUGAGUUCAGGGAUCAAAACCACAUCCUCAUGGAUACUAGUUGGGUUGGUACUGCUGAGCCACACGGGAACUCCGGAAGAUCUUAUAAGAGUUUAAAGAGUCUAAGUGUAAAAUUCUGUUAAAAGUUUUAAUGGAAAGAAAUUGAAAGAUAAGUAUUUCCAGUGGGUUUGGUAUCACACUUCCUGUUACAUAUUUCCUUUAAUUUAGCACACUACUGUUUGUUUCUUUCAUUGGUAGAACGUGUACAUUCAGAGUAAAUGGUAAAUAUUGACGUUGAAUAUUUUUGUUAAAUAUUAAUCCCUUGUUGAAUUAUCUGUCAGAGAACUGGGUGUCAGAGGACUUUUAAGUGAGGAAGAAUAAAGAUUCUAUAAAUGUAGCAGUUCUGAUGAAGCCAAUUAAAAUUGUGCAUGUUCUAUAAUAUAAAUUGGAAAUGGGAGUGACAUAUAAGUCCUUUCAUAAUCAUAUUACAGGCUAUCAGGAAAGAUAGGUAAUUUAUAAGAAGCAUCAGUUUCCCAUUAUGAUUUAUCUUUCUAGACACCAUGCAGAUAGGUUUUUCAAUGUGGGUAAAAACUUGAUCCUAACUUACUAAGUUAGAGGACAUAGGAAUUCAUGGGGAUGGACUCAAAAUCCAGUUGUGUCUGAAUCCAAAGCCAGGGCUUUU
rnacentral:lncRNA from 1 species